rnacentral:rRNA from 1 species
CAGGACGAACGCUGGCGGCGUGCUUAACACAUGCAAGUCGAGCGAGGUAGCAAUACCUAGCGGCGGACGGGUGAGUAACGCGUGAGCAACCUGCCUACAUCAUCGGGAUACCACGUAGAAAUAUGUGCUAAUACCGAAUAAGACCACACCGAGGCAUCUCGGAGAGGUAAAAGUGAUUUAGCGGAUGUAGAUGAGCUCGCGUCCCAUUAGCUAGAUGGUGAGGUAACGGCCCACCAUGGCGACGAUGGGUAGCCGACCUGAGAGGGUGAUCGGCCACAUUGGAACUGAGAUACGGUCCAGACUCCUACGGGAGGCAGCAGUGGGGAAUAUUGGGCAAUGGGCGAAAGCCUGACCCAGCAACGCCGCGUGAAGGAUGAAGGUUUUCGGAUUGUAAACUUCUGUCAGCAGGGGACGAAGAAUGACGGUACCUGACUAAGAAGCCCCGGCUAACUACGUGCCAGCAGCCGCGGUAAUACGUAGGGGGCGAGCGUUGUCCGGAAUGACUGGGCGUAAAGGGAGUGUAGGUGGCACAGCAAGUUAUAUGUGAAAGCCCGUGGCUCAACCACGGAACUGCAUAUAAAACUACUGAGCUAGAGUGCAGGAGAGGUAAGCGGAAUUCCUAGUGUAGCGGUGGAAUGCGUAGAUAUUAGGAGGAACACCAGAGGCGAAGGCGGCUUACUGGACUGUAACUGACACUGAGGCUCGAAAGCGUGGGGAGCAAACAGGAUUAGAUACCCUGGUAGUCCACGCCCUAAACGAUGGAUACUAGACGAAGGCGGAUUAAUUCCGUCUGUGUCGAAGCAAACGCGAUAAGUAUCCCGCCUGGGGAGUACGGCCGCAAGGUUGAAACUCAAAGAAAUUGACGGGGACCCGCACAAGCAGCGGAGCAUGUGGUUUAAUUCGAAGCAACGCGAAGAACCUUACCAAGACUUGACAUCGUAUGACCGCCAUAGAAAUAUGGAAUCUCUUCGGAGCAUAUAGACAGGUGGUGCAUGGUUGUCGUCAGCUCGUGUCGUGAGAUGUUCGGUUAAGUCCGGCAACGAGCGCAACCCCUAUUAUUAGUUGCCAAUAUUAAGUUAGGAACUCUAAUAAGACUGCCGUGGACAACCCGGAGGAAGGUGGGGAUGACGUCAAAUCAUCAUGCCCCUUACGUCUUGGGCCACACACGUGCUACAAUGGGCGCUACAGAGAGCAGCGAAAUCGCAAGGUGGAGCAAAUCUCAAAAAAGCGUUCUCAGUUCGGAUUGUGGGCUGCAACCCGCCCACAUGAAGUCGGAGUUGCUAGUAAUCCCGAAUCAGAAUGUCGGGGUGAAUGCGUUCCCGGGUCUUGUACACACCGCCCGUCACGCCAUGGGAGUUGGGGGUACCCAAAGUCAGUGAGCUAACCCGCAAGGGAGGCAGCUGCCUAAGGUAAAACCGAUGACUGGGGUGAAGUCGUAACAAGGUAGCCGUAUCGGAAGGUGCGGCUG